rnacentral:rRNA from 1 species
UGGGGAAUAUUGGACAAUGGGCGAAAGCCUGAUCCAGCCAUGCCGCGUGUGUGAAGAAGGUCUUCGGAUUGUAAAGCACUUUAAGUUGGGAGGAAGGGCAGUAAGUUAAUACCUUGCUGUUUUGACGUUACCAACAGAAUAAGCACCGGCUAACUUCGUGCCAGCAGCCGCGGUAAUACGAAGGGUGCAAGCGUUAAUCGGAAUUACUGGGCGUAAAGCGCGCGUAGGUGGUUUUGUAAGUUGGAGGUGAAAUCCCCGGGCUCAACCUGGGAACUGCCUCCAAAAACUGCAUGACUAGAGUACGGUAGAGGGUAGUGGAAUUUCCUGUGUAGCGGUGAAAUGCGUAGAUA